GAUGAACGCUAGCUACAGGCUUAUCACAUGCAAGUCGAGGGGAAACGACAUCGAAAGCUUGCUUUUGAUGGGCGUCGACCGGCGCACGGGUGAGUAACGCGUAUCCAACCUGCCCAUCACUUGGGAAUAACCUUGCGAAAGUAAGACUAAUACCCAAUGAUAUCCCACGAAGGCAUCGGAAUGGGAUUAAAGAUUUAUCGGUGAUGGAUGGGGAUGCGUCUGAUUAGCUUGUUGGCGGGGUAACGGCCCACCAAGGCAACGAUCAGUAGGGGUUCUGAGAGGAAGGUCCCCCACAUUGGAACUGAGACACGGUCCAAACUCCUACGGGAGGCAGCAGUGAGGAAUAUUGGUCAAUGGGCGAGAGCCUGAACCAGCCAAGUAGCGUGCAGGAAGACGGCCCUAUGGGUUGUAAACUGCUUUUAUAAGGGAAUAAAGUGGGUCACGUGUGACUUUUUGCAUGUACCUUAUGAAUAAGGACCGGCUAAUUCCGUG
rnacentral:rRNA from 1 species